rnacentral:rRNA from 1 species
AUUGAACGCUGGCGGCAGGCUUAACACAUGCAAGUCGAGCGAGCGGCGGACGGGUGAGUAAUGUCUGGGAAACUGCCUGAUGGAGGGGGAUAACUACUGGAAACGGUAGCUAAUACCGCAUACCAUCAGAUGUGCGCAGAUGGGAUUAGCUAGUAGGGGGGGUAAUGGCUCACCUGGGCGACGAUCCCUAGCUGGUCUGAGAGGAUGACCAGCCACCUUGGAACUGACACACGGUCCAGACGCCUACGGUGGGCAGCAUUGGGGAAUAUUGCACAAUGGGCGCAAGCCUGAUGCAGCCAUGCCGCGUGUGUGAAGAAGGCCUUCGGGUUGUAAAGCACUUUCAGCGAGGAGGCGUUACUCGCAGAAGAAGCACCGGCUAACUCCGUGCCAGCAGCCGCGUAAUUC